rnacentral:rRNA from 1 species
CCUACGGGGGGCAGCAGUAGGGAAUCUUGCGCAAUGGGCGAAAGCCUGACGCAGCGACGCCGCGUGAGUGAUGAAGGCCUUCGGGUUGUAAAGCUCUGGGGGAGAAAACUCGGUAUCUCCUUAGCAAGCACCGGCUAACUCUGUGCCAGCAGCCGCGGUAAUACAGAGGGUGCAAACGUUGUUCGGAAUUACUGGGCGUAAAGCGCGUGUAGGCGGCUUGGCAGGUCGGAUGUGAAAUCCCAGGGCUCAACCCUGGAAGGGCAUUCGAAACCGCUUCGCUAGAGUUCUGGAGAGGAAGGUGGAAUGCUUGGUGUAGAGGUGAAAUUCGUAGAUAUCAAGCGGAACACCGGUGGCGAAGGCGGCCUUCUGGACAGAACUGACGCUGAGACGCGAAAGCGUGGGGAGCAAACAGGAUUAGAUACCCUAGUAGUC